AGUAAGAUCAGCUAACGCCAAGCUUUUGGGCUCAUACCCCAACAAUAUAGGUUAAAAUCCUUUCCUUGCUA
rnacentral:tRNA from 1 species